CCUACGGGAGGCAGCAGUCGGGAAUUUUGGGCAAUGGGCGAAAGCCUGACCCAGCAACGCCGCGUGAAGGAUGAAGUUUCUCGGAAUGUAAACUUCACAAGAAUGGGAAGAAUAAGUCUGGGCUAAUACCCCUGACGAUGACGGUACCAUUUGUAAGCUCCGGCUAACUCCGUGCCAGCAGCCGCGGUAAUACGGGGGGAGCAAGCGUUGUUCGGAUUUACUGGGCGUAAAGGGCGCGUAGGCGGCGCAACAAGUCACUUGUGAAAUCUCCGGGCUUAACUCGGAGCGGCCAAGUGAUACUGUCGUGCUAGAGUGCGGAAGGGGCUACUGGAAUUCUCGGUGUAGCGGUGAAAUGCGUAGAUAUCGAGAGGAACACCUGCGGCGAAGGCGGGUAGCUGGGCCGACACUGACGCUGAGGCGCGAAAGCUAGGGGAGCGAACGGGAUUAGAUACCCCGGUAGUCCUAGCCUUAAACGAUGGAUGCUUGGUGUCCGGGGUUACAAAGUCCCCGGGUGCCGUCGCUAACGCCUUAAGCAUCCCGCCUGGGGAGUACGGUCGCAGGACUGAAACUCAAAGGAAUUGACGGGGACCCGCACAAGCGGUGGAGCAUGUGGUUUAAUUCGACGCAACGCGAAGAACCUUACCUGGGCUAGAAUGCCUCUGACAACCCUAGAGAUAGGGCCUUCUGGGUAACACCAGACAGAGUGCAAGGUGCUGCAUGGCUGUCGUCAGCUCGUGUCGUGAGAUGUUGGGUUAAGUCCCGCAACGAGCGCAACCCUUGUCAACUGUUGCCAGCGGUUCGGCCGGGCACUCGGUUGAGACUGCCGUUGAUAAACGGAGGAGGGUGGGGGAUGACGUCAAGUCCUCAUGGGCCUUUAUGUCCAGGGCUACACACGUGCUACAAUGGCAGGCACAAACGCUGCAAACUCGCGAGAGGAGCAUCGUCAAAGCUGUCUCAGUUCGGAUGAGUCUGCACUCGACUCAUGAGCUGAUCGCUAGUAUCGCAGAUCAGCACGCCGCG
rnacentral:rRNA from 1 species